UAAAGUUUCAUCAUAACUGAACGUAACAGUUGUGUUCUAUUUUUCGCGUAUCGCACAAAUUGAAUGAAAAAUUAAAAGAAAAAAAAAGAAAAGUUUUAUUCAAGUAUACCUACAUAAGUGAAUGUUGUGUUAUUUAAAUUGAAAAUUUGUUAUCAUUUCAUAAAAAGCACAAAUUAUAAUUGUUUCUUUUUUUUUUAAAUUAAUUAAAAAGUAAAGUUUUUAAUAAAAUUAAUAUAAUUAAAUUGAAAUUAUUAAUUGCUAUUUUAAUAUAAAAUAAAUUAAGAGAAUAUAAAACAAAAAAAAAAAAAAAAGAGUUAAAGAGACAUCUUUAUUUACUUUCAAACAUUAAUUUGAGAAGUUUUUAUGAACGCGAAUAUUCAAACAGGAAUUGAAAUAAUAAAAAAAAUUUAUACAUGUAUGUAAUUAUGUAUACAUGCUGUCGUAUAUAUAAAGUGUAUAAUAUGUUUGUAUAUAUAUUUGAAGUUUUUGCAAAUUAGAAAAACUCAAAAGCCAAAAAGAAACCCUCAAGUACAUUUGUGUGUAUUUUGCCAGCAAUAAUAAAAAGGGAAAAAGGAAAGAAAAGAGAAAACAAGGACCAAUUCAUAUUCAAACAGAUAUAUAAAACCGACAAGUAUUGUAAGCGGAAACAUUUUUAAAUCAAAAGUUGAAAAAGGAUCAAGCGAUUAUUCCGAUU